rnacentral:rRNA from 1 species
GACAGAGGCCUCAAGCGUUAGGCGGAAUCACUGGGCUUAAAGCGUGUGUAGGCGGAUCGUUAAGUGCCUUGUGAAAUCCCACGGCUCAACCGUGGAACUGCUUGGCAUACUGGCGGUCUUGAGCCAUCUAGGGGUCGCUGGAACAAACGGUGGAGCGGUGAAAUGCGUAGAUAUCGUUUGGAACGCCUAUGGUGAAAACAGGCGACUGGGGAUGUGCUGACGCUGAGACACGAAAGCCAGGGGAGCAAACGGG